rnacentral:snRNA from 1 species
UAACGUGGAGCUGCCUAGGACAUCUGUCACCCCAUUGCUCACGGGGAUUGAUUCAGCUGAUCUGGCUGACGAGGCAGGUGUACCCUUCCUCUCCGACCACUCAUGGUACAUUCUUCCUGAAGCUGCUCACAUGGUCAAGGAGGACCCCACCCCCACCCCCACCCACCCCCCACUCUUGAGAGCGAAUAGAGGAAGGCCAAUAAGUGGAGUAACUGAGCUCCCCUGCUAGGACCUCCAAACAGGUUCUCAAAAAUUAGUAACACAAAUCACUUCAUUUAAUCACCUAGAUCCUGAAUUUCUAUGGAACCAGGAGAGGAUUAUUCA